AUUUUCGAGUUAAGUGUGUUCGCAUCUCCUAUAUAUAGUGCGGAGUUUGGAGUUCUGACAUCAACCGACUCGGAAGACAGACGAUAAUAACUCAAGCUCCAUCAUGAAGGCUGUUCUUGUUCUCUUGGUUAUCACCAUCGUCGCGGCUUAUGCCGUUGAUGUAGAUUUGGACUUCGUUAAAUCUGCCAUGGCCUUCAAAAACCACGUGAUGAAGAGAGAAGCAGAACAAUCUCUUGAGAAGAGAAAAAUGUUGGGAUAUCACUGGCUGGAAGACAUGCAUGGACGUUGUUCAGAAAAUGGCGAUAAAUGUAACAUGUUCCAGGAUUGCUGCGAAGAAGACGAAGAAGGAAAUCAAUUAAAUCUGAGAUGUAACAAUUUUUUGAACGGUAGAUGCGAGACGAGAACAUAAACGUUGAUGAACCAGCAAAGCUAAUUAAUUAUUCGUUUCCAUGUUGUAGAACGAAUGUUAUUUAUUCAAAAUAUUAAACAAUAAAAUAAAUGAGUUUUCAGAUGA